CAACACAUGCAUAGAUUUUGAGAGGUUUCGGUAUUUAUUCUAAUCUAUGAUGUGAAUGAAUAUGGACAGUUAUUAGAAGCCUUAAUAGCGAUAAAUGAUUCCUCCUGGCAGUGGUACUAAACAUCACCUGAUGGUGGCAGUAAUGCAGCAAGAGCCACGUUUGUUACACACAAAGAAGGUGGUAGUGGCUAUCUUUCAGCUCAUCAUGCACUGUAUUCCUCAUAUCUCAGAGCUUGAAAAUUUUUGGCCUCCUAAUUGAAAAAGUAGUCAACUAUGACAAUGUCAGAGCGCCACAUGGGGAACUUGGGUCAAAUCCAUCGACCAGUAGUUGCUUGAAAGCCAAUGAAUAUGACAGUACCCUCAGAGGCAAUAUAAAGGUACAGUGGUCCCUCGCUAUAACGCGGUUCACCUUUCGCAGCCUCGCAGUUUUGUGGAUUUUUUUAGUGCCAUUUUGCAUGCCUUUUUUUUUUUUUUUUUUUUUUUAACAGCACAUUUUCUGCGUCCUUAUCAGGCGGGCCGGUCACGGCACCAGUCGGCAUCACUGCGAUCGCGAUUGCUUUCACUGCCUGCAAUGCGCUUACUGAGUCUGCGGGCUCGGUAAACGCAGCAGCGGGUCACUCACACAGCCCUCCUGUCUGCUGUGCGGAGCUGCGCCAAAUCUGGCAACAGGUCCAGAGACUACGCUCGCUGUUUUGAUGCGGAUGUUGACCGCAGCCACAGUCUGCUCCACUGGGGAGAAAAUCACGAAUGGGCAUGAAUGUGGGGGCUUUUACUUUUAAAUUCGGGAGAAAUCUCACCUCCACACUUCAUUUUUUGCUCGUAAAAACGUAUAACGGCGCCUUUUAAAACAAAGUA